rnacentral:tRNA from 1 species
GAGGGGUAUGGGGCCGGUGCCCCGGCUGGUCUGCAAAACCAGUAAGGGAGCCUCAUCAGUACAGGCUCUGGUGGGUUCAACUCCCACUACCCCUCUCCA